rnacentral:rRNA from 1 species
UACAGAGGGCUCAAGCGUUGUUCGGAUUCAUUGGGCGUAAAGGGUGCGUAGGUGGCGAUGUGAGUCUGGUGUGAAAUCUCGGGGCUCAACCUCGAAAUUGCAUUGGAUACUGCGUUGCUUGAGGAUUGUAGAGGAGAGUGGAAUUCACGGUGUAGCAGUGAAAUGCGUAGAUAUCGUGAGGAAGACCAGUUGCGAAGGCGACUCUCUGGGCAAUUCCUGACACUGAGGCACGAAGGCUAGGGGAGCAAACGGG